rnacentral:lncRNA from 1 species
UUUUUGUAAUUAUUUUAUUUUUGAUGAUGAAACAUGUGAAAUUACAUACUACAGUAUUCGAUACACAUUUUAAAAAUAAAGUAAUACUUGAUAAAUCAAUUAAGUCAUAUGGAUAUAAUAAGAUAUAUAUAUAUAAAUAUUACAAAAAGAUUUUGUUAAUUAAUCAAAUAAAUUAAAUAAAAGCUGCUUCUAACAUAUGCCAUUUCUGAUCCAUUUUUACUUUUUGUACAGGGGUUAAGAAACAUACAGAGUAUUUUUCUAUAUUAAUCCAAUAUUUUAAAUAUUCUACCCCACCAUAUUUUGUGGGGGAUAUGUUCUUACAUCUACAUUUGUAUAUAUAGUAUUUGAAUAACAACAAAAUAUUGUUAACUGUUUUACUGUUAACAAAAUCCUCAGACACACCUAAAAUGACUUCUUUUGCACUGAAAGGCAGGAGAAUGCCAUAAUUUUUAAUCCAAUCUAUAACGGAUAGCCAGAAGUUUUGUGAUACAUUACAUUCCCAAAAAAUGUGAAAAAUAUUUUCUUUAAAUUCUGAACAAAAAGUACAAAGUUCAGUUUCUUUUAAUUUACAUUUCAAUAAAAAUGAAUUACAUGGUAGAAUCCUAUGAACAAUCUUAAAUUGAAAGUUUUGCAAAAAAGAGUUUCUGGUUAUAAUGAAGGGCAUGGAAUAAAUA